AUGAAUCUUUUGGCCUGGAACUAUCGAGGACUGGGGUUGGACUCAACAGUGGGAGAACUUAGGGACCUGAUACGGUCCUACAACCCAGCGGUGGUAUUUUUAUGUGAAACAAAAAAGAAAGCAAGGGCGAUGGAGAGACUGAAAUGGAGUCUAGGGUUCAGAUGUGGCAUGGCAGUGGACUGUCAAGGGAGGAGUGGAGGUCUCACUCUGUGGUGGAGGGAUAAUGUG
rnacentral:rRNA from 1 species